CAGCACAGGGGACUUGUGUCAUUCUGCACUACAUUAAAGACUUCAUAUAGGCAUGUCUGCUGACACUUCUGGAGCCUGCUGGUAAUGAAAAUUCAAGAUCUAUCAAGACAAAAUGAGAGGAACAACAAAGCGAAGAGGAUGCCUCAGUGCUUACUCUCCUCCCAGUGGCUCUUCUGGGCUGUGGUUGACUGUAUGAAAAAGCCCUGCUUCAUUCCUGGGAACCAGAAGCUGUUUAUGUGAGGGGAGAGAAAAAUGUGCUAGUAGAGGAUUAAAGAUUUAAUAGUCAUAAAGUAAAACAUGUUCUGUAAUGAACUAUCAACACUAAUUGACUAGUUUCUGCUAUUUUGACAAUUGCCAGGUGUUCUGCAGUAGCAUGAUCUGCACCUGCCUGUGUUAUUUCAGCAGCACAAAGGCUUUCCUCUCCAAGCUGUGUCUUGCACUGCAAAACUCCCCUGAAAAGGAUAGGGAGCAGUUGCUGUUUGGCAUGUUGCCA